AUGGGGAGGAGAUUGGCGGUGUCGGAGGCGGUCCAGGGGUCUUCGUCCUCGGCCCCGGCGGCGGCCGCCACGGGAGCCCAGGAGUCGCAGACGCAGAUGGCCGUGGUCGUGCCGCCUCGGAAUCUGCCUCCGGCGUCGAGCAAGUCGACGGAGUUCCCUGCGCGGCCGGGGUACGGGACGGCCGGCAAGAGGUGCCGGGUGCGCGCCAACCAUCUCCUCGUGCAGGUCGCCGACAAAGAGAUCUACCACUACGAUGUACGUAAUGUGUCUCUGCUUUCGCUCACGUGGUACUCUUCUUUUGGAAAGGAAAGACCUCUCUCUAAAUUGUUGGGUCAAACCUUGUCUCCGAGGCAUGGCUACAGCGGCAGCAACAGCUUGCAUGCAACGGCAGUAGUAGUUGUUACUCAGCUAUGA
rnacentral:rRNA from 1 species